CGAGGAAUCUUGGGCAAUGGGCGAAAGCCUGACCCAGCGACGCCGCGUGAGGGAUGAAGGCCUUCGGGUCGUAAACCUCUUUUGUGAGGGAAGAAGUUCUGACGGUACCUCACGAAUAAGCCACGGCUAACUACGUGCCAGCAGCCGCGGUAAUACGUAGGUGGCAAGCGUUGUCCGGAUUUACUGGGCGUAAAGGGCUUGUAGGCGGUCCGUUAAGUCCGGUGUGAAAUCUCCCGGCUCAACUGGGAGGGGUCAUCGGAUACUGGCGGACUCGAGGUGGGCAGAGGAAAGCAGAAUUCCCGGUGUAGCGGUGAAAUGCGUAGAUAUCGGGAGGAAUACCAGUGGCGAAGGCGGCUUUCUGGGCCUAUCCUGACGCUGAGGAGCGAAAGCGUGGGGAGCAAACCGGAUUAGAUACCCGGGUAGUCCACGCCCUAAACGGUGGAUGCUAGGUGUAGGGGGUGUCGACCCCUCUGUGCCGCAGCUAACGCUUUAAGCAUCCCGCCUGGGGAGUACGGCCGCAAGG
rnacentral:rRNA from 1 species